GUUAAAGGUUCAUAUGAUAACAUGAACAUAUGAACUUAAACAUAUGAUUACUAUAAAGUUUUUAUUUACUGUCAAAAAUCGACAGGCCUAUUUUGACAAGCCAGCCAGAUUCUGAAACGUCAGCCUAUGCCAUUUUAGACAUGGAUCGACUCAACCAAAAAUCGGGAAAACUGUGCGUGCCUAUCGUAAGAAAUAUGGGAGACAUUCGGAUUUGACGGCACCGGACUUUUUUCUGUGGGGCUACUUGAAGAGUAAGGUGUAUGUCAGCAAACCGAAGACUAUUGAAGAACUAAAAGCUAAUAUCAAAGCGGAAAUUGCUGCUAUUACGCCCGAAAUGUUGUCGAAUACAAUGCUAAAUGCCCAAAAAAGGGCCGCUUUUUGUGUUUCUAAUGAUCGAUAUUGUAUUCUGAGUGAAUUGUCAAUAAAUGGCAUUCUAUACCCUA